UCGGGAAUUUUGGGCAAUGGGCGAAAGCCUGACCCAGCAACGCCGCGUGAGGGAUGAAGUAUUUCGGUAUGUAAACCUCGAAAGAAUGGGAAGAAUAAAUGACGGUACCAUUUAUAAGCUCCGGCUAACUACGUGCCAGCAGCCGCGGUAAUACGUAGGGAGCAAGCGUUGUUCGGAUUUACUGGGUGUAAAGGGUGCGCAGGCGGAUGGGUAAGUCAGGGGUGAAAGUCUGCAGCUUAACUGUAGAAUUGCCUUUGAUACUGCUCAUCUUGAGUGUGGGAGAGGUUGAUGGAAUUCCAGGUGUAGCAGUGAAAUGCGUAGAUAUCUGGAAGAACACCAGUGGCGAAGGCGGUCAACUGGCCCAUAACUGACGCUCAUGCACGAAAGCGUGGGGAGCAAACA
rnacentral:rRNA from 1 species